CAAGUCUAUUUACAGCAGCAACAUUAAACCAGCCCUGCCAACAUCCUCCCUGUGCUUGGGCCACGCUGGGGCUGGUCACCUCUGAGGGCAGCCCCCAGCCUCAGUCCAACAUCCUUUUCUCCAUCAGCAACUAGAACGUUGCACUGGUGAGCGCUUCCAGGCUGGUACCAGGUCUCACCAUGGGGAAGGGCACUGUGUCUGGGCUUGUGCAGGUGGUGGAUGCAGAGACUGGCAAGGUGGUCAUCAUCUCUCAGCUGGGGAAGAAUUGGAUACAUCUCCCACUGCUUGAAGGAGGCAGCACAGCUUCUGGGGGCAUUCCCAGUGCUGGCACCCCGCUGGUCACCAGGCCUGACUUCUCCCCACCGAUGUCCAUCUAUAUCACCUGGAUCACCAACCACCAGAACCCUUUCUCCUUUGGCAAUGCCAUGCCAGGCCUGACCUUCCACUGGUCUGUCACCAAGCGGGACAUCCUGGA
rnacentral:lncRNA from 1 species